rnacentral:tRNA from 1 species
GAGGAGGCCCCAACCAGCAAGAACUGCUAAUUCUCGCACCUGAGCAUAAAACCUCAGCCUCCUUA